UGCAAACUGCGAAUACCGGAGAAUGUUAUCACGGGAGACACACGGCGGGUGCUAACGUCCGUCGUGAAGAGGGAAACAACCCAGACCGCCAGCUAAGGUCCCAAAGUCAUGGUUAAGUGGGAAACGAUGUGGGAAGGCCCAGACAGCCAGGAUGUUGGCUUAGAAGCAGCCAUCAUUUAAAGAAAGCGUAAUAGCUCACUGGUCGAGUCGGCCUGCGCGGAAGAUGUAACGGGGCUAAACCAUGCACCGAAGCUGCGGCAGCGACACUAUGUGUUGUUGGGUAGGGGAGCGUUCUGUAAGCCUGUGAAGGUGGCCUGUGAGGGUUGCUGGAGGUAUCAGAAGUGCGAAUGCUGACAUAAGUAACGAUAAAGCGGGUGAAAAGCCCGCUCGCCGGAAGACCAAGGGUUCCUGUCCAACGUUAAUCGGGGCAGGGUGAGUCGACCCCUAAGGCGAGGCCGAAAGGCGUAGUCGAUGGGAAACAGGUUAAUAUUCCUGUACUUGGUGUUACUGCGAAGGGGGGACGGAGAAGGCUAUGUUGGCCGGGCGACGGUUGUCCCGGUUUAAGCGUGUAGGCUGGUUUUCCAGGCAAAUCCGGAAAACCAAGGCUGAGGCGUGAUGACGAGGCACUACGGUGCUGAAGCGACAAAUGCCCUGCUUCCAGGAAAAGCCUCUAAGCAUCAGGUAACAUCAAAUCGUACCCCAAACCGACACAGGUGGUCAGGUAGAGAAUACCAAGGCGCUUGAGAGAACUCGGGUGAAGGAACUAGGCAAAAUGGUGCCGUAACUUCGGGAGAAGGCACGCUGAUAUGUAGGUGAAGCGACUUGCUCGUGGAGCUGAAAUCAGUCGAAGAUACCAGCUGGCUGCAACUGUUUAUUAAAAACACAGCACUGUGCAAACACGAAAGUGGACGUAUACGGUGUGACGCCUGCCCGGUGCCGGAAGGUUAAUUGAUGGGGUUAGCGGUAACGCGAAGCUCUUGAUCGAAGCCCCGGUAAACGGCGGCCGUAACUAUAACGGUCCUAAGGUAGCGAAAUUCCUUGUCGGGUAAGUUCCGACCUGCACGAAUGGCGUAAUGAUGGCCAGGCUGUCUCCACCCGAGACUCAGUGAAAUUGAACUCGCUGUGAAGAUGCAGUGUACCCGCGGCAAGACGGAAAGACCCCGUGAACCUUUACUAUAGCUUGACACUGAACAUUGAGCCUUGAUGUGUAGGAUAGGUGGGAGGCUUUGAAGUGUGGACGCCAGUCUGCAUGGAGCCGACCUUGAAAUACCACCCUUUAAUGUUUGAUGUUCUAACGUUGGCCCGUAAUCCGGGUUGCGGACAGUGUCUGGUGGGUAGUUUGACUGGGGCGGUCUCCUCCUAAAGAGUAACGGAGGAGCACGAAGGUUGGCUAAUCCUGGUCGGACAUCAGGAGGUUAGUGCAAUGGCAUAAGCCAGCUUGACUGCGAGCGUGACGGCGCGAGCAGGUGCGAAAGCAGGUCAUAGUGAUCCGGUGGUUCUGAAUGGAAGGGCCAUCGCUCAACGGAUAAAAGGUACUCCGGGGAUAACAGGCUGAUACCGCCCAAGAGUUCAUAUCGACGGCGGUGUUUGGCACCUCGAUGUCGGCUCAUCACAUCCUGGGGCUGAAGUAGGUCCCAAGGGUAUGGCUGUUCGCCAUUUAAAGUGGUACGCGAGCUGGGUUUAGAACGUCGUGAGACAGUUCGGUCCCUAUCUGCCGUGGGCGCUGGAGAACUGAGGGGGGCUGCUCCUAGUACGAGAGGACCGGAGUGGACGCAUCACUGGUGUUCGGGUUGUCAUGCCAAUGGCACUGCCCGGUAGCUAAAUGCGGAAGAGAUAAGUGCUGAAAGCAUCUAAGCACGAAACUUGCCCCGAGAUGAGUUCUCCCUGACUCCUUGAGAGUCCUGAAGGAACGUUGAAGACGACGACGUUGAUAGGCCGGGUGUGUAAGCGCAGCGAUGCGUUGAGCUAACCGGUACUAAUGAACCGUGAGGCUUAACCUUACAACGCCGAAG
rnacentral:rRNA from 1 species